rnacentral:rRNA from 1 species
GCUAAAUGUAUUGUGGGGUCAGACCACACCCCCUUGAUUCUGGAUGAUGGUUCCAUUCGCAAUAGACCUCCGACUAGAUUUCAGUUUGAUGCUUCUUGGCUGUCUGUUGAUGGCUUUGUUGACAUGGUUGCGGCGAAAAUCUCCCAAUCCCUCUCUCACAACCCCCGCUCUUUUGGCCCUCUGGAUGAUUGGCAGUCAUGUGCCUAUGCUUUACGAAAAUUUCUUAGAGGCUGGUCGCAUAACCGUGCGGCGGAGGAUCGCCGCUCCAAAGCCUUCCUUGAAAAUCAGAUCCUGGAGCUGGAUCGUACUGCGGACUCUAUUGGGCUCUCGGAUGAUGGUUGGGCUGUUCGCUAUAAUCUGGAGGCCGCUCUUCUGCAGCUGCAUCAUCAGGCUGAGAUUUACUGGCGUCAGAGGGGCACCCUUAAUUGGACUCUCAAAGGAGACGCUCCUACUGCUUAUUUCUUU